rnacentral:rRNA from 2 species
GGAGCUUGCUUCUCUUGAGAGCGGCGGACGGGUGAGUAAUGCCUAGGAAUCUGCCUAGUAGUGGGGGAUAACGUUCGGAAACGGACGCUAAUACCGCAUACGUCCUACGGGAGAAAGUGGGGGAUCUUCGGACCUCACGCUAUUAGAUGAGCCUAGGUCGGAUUAGCUAGUUGGUGGGGUAAAGGCUCACCAAGGCGACGAUCCGUAACUGGUCUGAGAGGAUGAUCAGUCACACUGGAACUGAGACACGGUCCAGACUCCUACGGGAGGCAGCAGUGGGGAAUAUUGGACAAUGGGCGAAAGCCUGAUCCAGCCAUGCCGCGUGUGUGAAGAAGGUCUUCGGAUUGUAAAGCACUUUAAGUUGGGAGGAAGGGCAGUAAGUUAAUACCUUGCUGUUUUGACGUUACCGACAGAAUAAGCACCGGCUAACUCUGUGCCAGCAGCCGCGGUAAUACAGAGGGUGCAAGCGUUAAUCGGAAUUACUGGGCGUAAAGCGCGCGUAGGUGGUUUGGUAAGUUGGAUGUGAAAGCCCCGGGCUCAACCUGGGAACUGCAUCCAAAACUGCCAAGCUAGAGUACGGUAGAGGGUGGUGGAAUUUCCUGUGUAGCGGUGAAAUGCGU